rnacentral:rRNA from 1 species
GAUUUCUGGCUUGCUGCCAUUUCGCCGGCCACGGUUUCGUGUGUUAGUGUGAGAUGGUCUGGCCAUCCUUUCAAUCUCUAUGGGAUGUCUCUUCAUUGAUUUGUUCCAUAGAAUUGAAUCUUUUACUUUGAAAAAAUUAGAGUGUUUCAAGCAGGCUUUAUGCUAUGAAUACAUUAGCAUGGAAUAAUAAUUUAGGACUUCGGUUCUAUUUUGUUGGUUUCUAGGACUGAAGUAAUGAUUGAUAGGGAUAGUUGGGGGUGCUAGUAUUCAGCGGCCAGAGGUGAAAUUCUCGGAUUCGCUGAAGACUAACUUAUGCGAAAGCAUU